rnacentral:rRNA from 1 species
UACGUAGGGGGCAAGCGUUGUCCGGAAUUAUUGGGCGUAAAGAGCUCGUAGGCGGUGUGUCGCGUCGGUCGUGAAAACUUGGGGCUUAACCCUGAGCUUGCGGUCGAUACGGGCAUCACUGGAGUUCGGCAGGGGAGACUGGAAUUCCUGGUGUAGCGGUGAAAUGCGCAGAUAUCAGGAGGAACACCGGUGGCGAAGGCGGGUCUCUGGGCCGAUACUGACGCUGAGGAGCGAAAGCGUGGGGAGCGAACAGG